rnacentral:lncRNA from 1 species
UGUCAUUUGACCUAAGCUGGCCUUAACCAUGCUAUGUAGUGAGGAUAAUCUUGAAUGCCUUACUGGUGUGAGCCAUCACUUCUAGUUUAUGUGGUACUGGGGAUAGAAUCCAGGACUUUGUACGUGAUGAGAGCAUUGUGGAUGAGAAUGGUUCAUGUGCUUGAAUACUUUGUCCCCAUUGUUGGAACUGUUUGGGAAGGAUUAGGAAAUGUGCCCUUAUUAGAGAAAGGGUUUCACUAGGAUCAGGCGCUGAGGUUUCAAAAGACACCAUUUAGAGUUAGCUUUCUAGACCUCUUACUUGUGCAUCAAGAGGUGAGCGCUCAGGUGUUGAGGCCAGCAUGCCUUUGUUCCACCAUCAUGGACUUCAAACCUAGGAAACCAUAAGCACAGUGAAACACUUUUGUUUUGUCGGUUGUCUUGGUCAUGGUGCUUUAUCCCAGAAAGAGAGGCAACUACAACACCAACAAGCAAGUGUUCUACCAAGUGAGCUAAACUGCUAGCCCUGAAAGCCUACUGUCUUUGUAAAACCUGCUCCACCCACUCCAGCCUAGAUGACUCUUCUGCCUAGGGAUUCUUGCAAAGUGAUUUGCCGGCUUUUUGAGAUGAGAUCUUCGGUAGCCCAAACUAUCCUCACUAUGGAGGUAAGGACAACUUGGAAUUCCUAAUUCCUGUCUCAUUUUCCUACCUGCUCUUGUUGCAUCUAUGUGCCACUGUGGUUGACUUAUUUUGAUGUCCCC